rfam:Aedes albopictus isolate Foshan contig118406, whole genome shotgun sequence.
UGUUCUGCGGCUUAGUUGGUUAAAGCGCCGGACUACCGAUACGGAGUCGUGGGUUCGAAUCCCACCAAAACAA